rnacentral:rRNA from 1 species
UACAGAGAGUGCAAACGUUGUUCGGAAUUACUGGGCUUAAAGCGCGCGUAGGCUGUGUCGUAAGUGUCAAGUGAAAUCCCACGGCUCACCCGUGGAACUGCUUGGCAUACUGCGAUACUCGAGUGUGGUAGGGGAGAGCGGAACUCCUGGUGGAGCGGUGAAAUGCGUAGAUAUCAGGAGGAACACUGGUGGCGAAGGCGGCUCUCUGGUCCACAACUGACGCUGAGGUGCGAAAGCUAGGGGAGCAAACGGG